rnacentral:tRNA from 1 species
GGAUGUGGCUCAAGUGGUAGCGCGCUCGCCUGGCAUGCAUGUGGCCUGGGUUCAAUCCUCAGCACCA